GGUGUGGUUUCCACACUCCUUCCAUUUUAUAAAUUCAUCUUUCCACCACUUAUGGACUGAACACUCCGUUUCAGUUUUGAGAUGUUUCAUUUUUAUUUGAGUGGAUUGUGGAACGCAUGUGGAUUCCAUUAUCUUUAAUUUUUAUGUCUUGAGGACAAAUCCGAACAGGAAAACGGGGUGUCUGUAGAGGAAGAAUUUGACUACUCAGAAAGAAGAAAGUGGCUGUGUUCUGUUAAACAAGAUGCCAAAGCCAUGGUUCCUACAGGCUUUUCUGGCUUGGUUGCUGGUGUAUGUAGUAUGGCAAUUGGUGAGUUAGUUUCAGUGUACACCCAAAGAUCCUUAGAGGUGCCUCUGGUGAAAAGAGAGACCACACUUGUGGAAAAAGAGAAAAGUACCCAUCUUUAUAGAUCAAGUUAUUAUAUGUUUUACUUGCUUUAGUAUAGUUGGUUGAGAGGCUGUUCAAAGCCCUUAUACUUGUGUUGUUACAAACAUGAUUAUUGGUCCUGUUUACAUUACUAAUGCAUGCGUCUGCAAGUGCUAUUUAUCUUUUCCACAUGGGAGUCACAUACGGUGUCUGUACAUGACCUUUUAGUUAUAUAUUUAUAGAAUUGAUGGGAGGUAUCCUCCUUUUAUUGUUUGAA